CUGACUGUGCUAAGGUAGCAUAAUCAUUUGUUAUCUAAAUGAUAACUAGUAUGAAGGGUCUGACGAGAAAAUAACUUUCUAAAAAGAAAUAAUAAAAAUUUAUCUUAAAGUAAAAAAGCUUUAAAAACUUAGAAAGACGAGAAGACCCUAGAACCUGUCUAUCUGCAUAGUUUGUUGGGGUGACAUUAUUUUAAAACAAAUAACUAUUUUAACUCAUUAAGAGACUUAACCUAUCUUUUUUAAAAAAAAAAAAAGGUACUCUAGGGAUAACAGCAUAAUCUUCUUUUAGAGCCCUAAUCGACAAGAAAGAUUUUGACCUCGAUGUUGAAUUGAUAUUCCUUCUUAAAGCAGAAUUUCUA
rnacentral:rRNA from 1 species